rfam:Triticum urartu cultivar G1812 contig1210119, whole genome shotgun sequence.
GAUAUACUCCCUCCGUCCCAAAAUUCUUGUCUUAGAUUUGUCUAGAUACGGAUGUAUCUAGUUACACUAGAUACAUCCGUAUCUAGACAAAUCUAAGACAAGAAUUUUGGGACGGAGGUUGUACUAG